UACGAAGGGGGCUAGCGUUGCUGGGAAUUACUGGGCGUAAAGCGAACGUAGGCGGACUUUUAAGUCGGGGGUGAAAUCCUGGAGCUCAACUCCAGAACUGCCUUCGAAACUGAAAGCCUUGAGUUCGGGAGAGGUGAGUGGAACUGCGAGUGUAGAGGUGAAAUUCGUAGAUAUUCGCAAGAACACCAGUGGCGAAGGCGGCUCACUGGCCCGAUACUGACGCUGAGGUGCGAAAGCGUGGGGAGCAAACAGG
rnacentral:rRNA from 1 species